GAUGAAGAACGUAGCGAAAUGCGAUAAGUAAUGCGAAUUGCAGAAUUCAGUGAGUCUUCGAAUCUUUGAACGCACAUUGCGCCCUGUGGUAUUCCGCAGGGCAUGCCUGUUCGAGCGUCAUUUCAACCCUCAAGCCCCGCUUGGUGUUGGGCCCCGCCCGCCGUGGCCGGCCCUAAAGACAGUGGCGGCGCCGCCUGGCCCUCAGCGUAGUACAGCUCUCGCUCCAGGGUCCGGCGGCCGCCUGCCAGAACCCCCCCAACUCUGUGGUUGACCUCGGAUCAGGUAGGGAUACCCGCUGAACUUAAGCAUAUCAAUAAGCGGAGGA
rnacentral:misc_RNA from 1 species